CACAAGGAAGAGCUUUCUCUUAUAAAACGCCUCAACUCUGGAAUAAUCUCCCCGAAUAUGUUCGGGACUCAGACACAGUCUCAAUCUUUAAGUCUAGACUGAAAACUUACUUGUUUAGUUUAGCUUCUGGUAAUUAAUGUUUCUCCCUUUAGAUAAGGCUGCAGAUCCAGGGGUUCAUGGACAGAGGGAAUUGUGGUAAACUGAGAUGCUGGUGCUGUUGUUCUCCCACUGCACACGCUCACUCAGGUUUGUGGACGGUGGAGUGGGUGGAUGCUGGUGUUUCAGGGUGCCUCCAUGUCUAUGUUACCUUCUGGCUCUCUGCCUUUAGUUAGGCUGUUUUAUUCAGUUCUGCCGGAGUCAUUUGCCACACUCUGAUAAUGUUUUAAUAUUCUCAGUUUUGCAUAAAUCCAGUAAAAACUAAUUCCAUCUCUCUGCUUUCCUCCGAGUUACUGACUGCCCACCUGUCUGACCCGAUACCGAUGUUGGACCCUCAGGCUCUCGCGUCUCCUGUCCAGCCAGACUGAUGGAAGUUUCUGAAGUCAGCUCUUCUCCACCACCACCACAGAUCAGCUGCUCAUCGACCAUCUUACUCUCCACUACAGAUUACAUCCAAGCCAUUAGUGGCGCUAUUACACUCCUGAGUACAUAAAACCUAUAUGGAUGUAUAAAAGACUUUUUAAAUUUUAAUUUAAAAGCCGUUUGACCAGUGGUAGGAUGGUCCCCCCUUUAAUGUGAGUCUUGGUCCUCCCAAGGUUUCUUCCUCCUCCUGCAGCUCUGAGGGAGUUUUUCCUUGCCUCCGCGCUCACUGGGGGUUCUGUAUUCUGUAUUUUCUAUGUUUAAUGUUUUGCCUGAUUCUUUGUCCUGUAAUCAUGUUUCUGUAAAGCUGCUUUGUGCCAACACCUGUUGUAAAAAGCGCUAUACAAAUAAAUUUGAUUUGAUUUGA